UGGAAAUUUUGAGGACAAUAGUUAGCCGAUCUUAAGAACAGGAAAUUACAGUUAAAAGAGUCAACAGUAGGAAAUGUUAUUAAGUCAACAGUAUAGGAAAUGUUAUUAAGUCAACAGUAGGAAAUGUAGUUGCAUUGAAACGAUCGUAAUUAUUUGUCAAACGCACGCAACAAAGAAAGAUGGCUUUAUACGUUCAAAUAAAGAUAAUAAUUUUGUCACUGUUGAUGAUCCGUUACAGUCUUAUCAUCUCAAAGGAAACAUGUGAACAAAAUAUCACCUCACUGGAGAUUCGUGUUGUUUAUCGUGG